UGGGGAAUCUUCCGCAAUGGACGAAAGUCUGACGGAGCAACGCCGCGUGUAUGAUGAAGGUCUUCGGAUUGUAAAGUACUGUCAUUGGGGAAGAACGGUUUUCUUGAAAGAUUGAGAAGACAUGACGGUACCCAAGGAGGAAGCCCGGCUAACUACGUGCCAGCAGCCGCGGUAAUACGUAGGGGGCAAGCGUUGUCCGGAAUUAUUGGGCGUAAAGGGCGCGUAGGCGGGCCUUUAAGUCCGGUGUGAAAGAUCAGGGCUCAACCCUGAGAGUGCAUCGGAAACUGGAGGCCUUGAGGACAGGAGAGGAAAGUGGAAUUCCACGUGUAGCGGUGAAAUGCGUAGAUAUGUGGAGGAACACCAGUGGCGAAAGGCGACUUUGUCGACUGUAACUGACGCUGAGGCGCGAAAGCGUGGGAGCAAACAGGUUAGAUACCCUGGUAGUCCACGCCGUAAACGAUGAGUGCUAGGUGUAGAGGG
rnacentral:rRNA from 1 species